CCCGCGGUAGCUCAGCUUGGUAGAGCUUCCGACCCUAGUAUAGGGGAAGAUGCUGUAGAGGCUUGCCAUUCGGCUCACCUUACCAGCCUGCCAUGCUUACAGAAACCGGACUGUCGGGUGUUCAAAUCACCCCCGCGGGA
rnacentral:tRNA from 1 species